rnacentral:rRNA from 1 species
AUUGAACGCUGGCGGCAGGCCUAACACAUGCAAGUCGAACGAGUGGCGGACGGGUGAGUAAUGUCUGUGAAACUUCCUGAUGGAGGGGGAUAACUACUGGAAACGGUAGCUAAUACCGCAUACCAUCGGAUGUGCCCAGGUGGGUUUAGCUAGUUGGUGGGGUAACGGCUCACCUAGGCGACGAUCCCUAGCUGGUCUGAGAGGAUGACCGACCACACGGGAAAUGAGACACGGUCCAGAAUCGUACGGGAGGCAGCAGUGGGGAAUAUUGCACAAUGGGCGCAAGCCGGAUGCAGACAUGCCGAGUGUAUGAAGAAGGCCUUCGGGUUGUAAAGUACUUUCAGCGGGGAGGCGUUACCCGCAGAAGAAGCACCGGCUAACUCCGUGCCAGCAGCCGCGGUAAUUC